GCCGAGCAUGAGCCGCCGCCGGCGCGGGCAGCGCGCUGCUUGGGGCCCGACUGCUGCGCGGGGGCUGCGCGGGAGCUACGCCGGCCGGGACCGAGAAACCCAGGCUUGGAGGCCAGAACUUCUCCUACCUAGGAUUUCCUGAAGACUGGGUCUGUGUUCCAGCCCCUUCCAGCUGUGGACUGUGAACAUUUGGGUUCCCUUCCUCCUCUGAGGCUAUGGUCUUGAUUACACGCGAUUUUAUUUAUUCAUGAGAGACACAAAGAGAGAGGCAGAGACAUAGGCAGAGCGAGAAG